AUUGAACGCUGGCGGCAGGCCUAACACAUGCAAGUCGAGCGGAUGAAGGAAGCUUGCUCCUGUAUUCCGCGGCGGACGGGUGAGUAAUGCCUACGAAUCUGCCUUGUAGUGGGGGAUAACGUCCGUACACGGGCGCUAAUACCGCAUACGUCCUGAUGGUGAACGUGGGGGUUCUUCGGACCUCACGCUAUCUGCUGAGCCUAGGUCGGAUUAGCUAGUUGGUUAGGUAAAGGCCUACCAAGGCGACGAUCCGUAACUGGUCUGAGAGGAUGAUCAGUCACACUGGAACUGAGACACGGUCCAGACUCCUACGGGAGGCAGCAGUAGGGAAUAUUGGACAAUGGGCGAAAGCCUGAUCCAGCAAUGCCGCGUGAGUGAAGAAGGUCUUCGGAUUGUAAAGCACUUUAAGUAGGGAAGAAGGGCAGUAAGUUAAUACCUGGCUGUUUUGACGUUACCAACAGAAUAAGCAACGGCUAACUUCGUG
rnacentral:rRNA from 1 species